rnacentral:rRNA from 1 species
CCUCUCACACGCCACGGCGCCCACGCCUCUCUCGCGCCGCGCGGCUCACACGGCCGCGCGCGAGCCGGCGCCGGCACGCGCCGCACGCGCCCCGCGAGGCGCGCGGCGGCCGCUCCGCGCCGCCGCCGGUGCCACGCGAGCACGGCCUCACGCCACCGCGCGCGCCUGCCCUAGCGUGUUCUCCGUCCGGAAAUUAGCCUGCUCCCGCCUCCCCUCUCCUUGGAUGCCUCUUCGCUCGCUCGACAGUAGCUCCUCUGCGGGACUUCCUUAGCUUCCGCCCCCUUCCGCCUGCUGAGCCGAGUCUCUUCCUUGGUUCGCUCUUGGCCAAACUCCGCAAUUUUUGCAUAUCCAAUAGCGGAGGAAAAGAAACCAACAGGGAUUACCUCAGUAACGGCGAGUGAAGCGGUAACAGCUCAAAUUUGAAAUCUGGCCUCACGGUCCGAGUUGUAAUUUGUAGAGGAUGCUUCGAGCAUGGUCUGGCCUAAGUUCCUUGGAACAGGACGUCAUAGAGGGUGAGAAUCCCGUAUGCGGCCAGGUGCCUACGCUCAUGUGAAGCUCCUUCGACGAGUCGAGUUGUUUGGGAAUGCAGCUCAAAAUGGGUGGUAAAUUUCAUCUAAAGCUAAAUAUUGGCCAGAGACCGAUAGCGCACAAGUAGAGUGAUCGAAAGAUGAAAAGCACUUUGGAAAGAGAGUUAAACAGUACGUGAAAUUGUUGAAAGGGAAGCGCUUGCAACCAGACUUGCGCGCGGCCGAUCAUCCGGUGUUCUCACCGGUGCACUCGGCCGUGCUCAGGCCAGCAUCGGUUUUGGCGGCUGGAUAAAGGCCCUAGGAAUGUAGCUCCUCUCGGGGAGUGUUAUAGCCUAGGGUGCAAUGCAGCCUGCUGGGACCGAGGACCGCGCUCGGCUAGGUUGCUGCGAAAUGCCCAAAAUUUUUA